GGGUUGUGAGGUUAAGCGACUAAGCGUACACGGUGGAUGCCCUGGCAGUCAGAGGCGAUGAAGGACGUGCUAAUCUGCGAAAAGCGUCGGUAAGGUGAUAUGAACCGUUAUAACCGGCGAUGUCCGAAUGGGGAAACCCAGUGCAAUUCGUUGCACUAUCGUUAACUGAAUACAUAGGUUAACGAGGCGAACCGGGGGAACUGAAACAUCUAAGUACCCCGAGGAAAAGAAAUCAACCGAGAUUCCCCCAGUAGCGGCGAGCGAACGGGGAGCAGCCCAGAGUCUGAAUCAGCUUGUGUGUUAGUGGAACGGUCUGGAAAGUCCGACGGUACAGGGUGAUAGUCCCGUACACCAAAAUGCACAGGCUGUGAACUCGAAGAGUAGGGCGGGACACGUGGUAUCCUGUCUGAAUAUGGGGGGACCAUCCUCCAAGGCUAAAUACUCCUGACUGACCGAUAGUGAACCAGUACCGUGAGGGAAAGGCGAAAAGAACCCCGGCGAGGGGAGUGAAAAAGAACCUGAAACCGUGUACGUACAAGCAGUGGGAGCACCUUCGGGUGUGACUGCGUACCUUUUGUAUAAUGGGUCAGCGACUUAUAUUCUGUAGCAAGGUUAACCGUAUAGGGGAGCCGCAGGGAAACCGAGUCUUAACUGGGCGUUAAGUUGCAGGGUAUAGACCCGAAACCCGGUGAUCUAGCCAUGGGCAGGUUGAAGGUUGGGUAACACUAACUGGAGGACCGAACCGACUAAUGUUGAAAAAUUAGCGGAUGACUUGUGGCUGGGGGUGAAAGGCCAAUCAAACCGGGAGAUAGCUGGUUCUCCCCGAAAGCUAUUUAGGUAGCGCCUCGUGAACUCAUCUUCGGGGGUAGAGCACUGUUUCGGCUAGGGGGUCAUCCCGACUUACCAACCCGAUGCAAACUACGAAUACCGAAGAAUGUUAUCACGGGAGACACACGGCGGGUGCUAACGUCCGUCGUGAAGAGGGAAACAACCCAGACCGCCAGCUAAGGUCCCAAAGUCAUGGUUAAGUGGGAAACGAUGUGGGAAGGCACAGACAGCCAGGAUGUUGGCUUAGAAGCAGCCAUCAUUUAAAGAAAGCGUAAUAGCUCACUGGUCGAGUCGGCCUGCGCGGAAGAUGUAACGGGGCUAAACCAUGCACCGAAGCUGCGGCAGCGACACUAUGUGUUGUUGGGUAGGGGAGCGUUCUGUAAGCCUGCGAAGGUGUGCUGUGAGGCAUGCUGGAGGUAUCAGAAGUGCGAAUGCUGACAUAAGUAACGAUAAAGCGGGUGAAAAGCCCGCUCGCCGGAAGACCAAGGGUUCCUGUCCAACGUUAAUCGGGGCAGGGUGAGUCGACCCCUAAGGCGAGGCCGAAAGGCGUAGUCGAUGGGAAACAGGUUAAUAUUCCUGUACUUGGUGUUACUGCGAAGGGGGGACGGAGAAGGCUAUGUUAGCCGGGCGACGGUUGUCCCGGUUUAAGCAUGUAGGCUGGUUAUCCAGGCAAAUCCGGAUAAUCAAGGCUGAGGUGUGAUGACGAGGCACUACGGUGCUGAAGUAACAAAUGCCCUGCUUCCAGGAAAAGCCUCUAAGCAUCAGGUAACAUUAAAUCGUACCCCAAACCGACACAGGUGGUCAGGUAGAGAAUACCAAGGCGCUUGAGAGAACUCGGGUGAAGGAACUAGGCAAAAUGGUGCCGUAACUUCGGGAGAAGGCACGCUGGUGUGUAGGUGAAGUCCCUGCGGAUGGAGCUGAGACCAGUCGAAGAUACCAGCUGGCUGCAACUGUUUAUUAAAAACACAGCACUGUGCAAACACGAAAGUGGACGUAUACGGUGUGACGCCUGCCCGGUGCCGGAAGGUUAAUUGAUGGGGUUAUCCGUAAGGAGAAGCUCUUGAUCGAAGCCCCGGUAAACGGCGGCCGUAACUAUAACGGUCCUAAGGUAGCGAAAUUCCUUGUCGGGUAAGUUCCGACCUGCACGAAUGGCGUAAUGAUGGCCAGGCUGUCUCCACCCGAGACUCAGUGAAAUUGAACUCGCUGUGAAGAUGCAGUGUACCCGCGGCAAGACGGAAAGACCCCGUGAACCUUUACUAUAGCUUGACACUGAACAUUGAGCCUUGAUGUGUAGGAUAGGUGGGAGGCUUUGAAGCGUGGACGCCAGUCUGCGUGGAGCCAACCUUGAAAUACCACCCUUUAAUGUUUGAUGUUCUAACGUUGGCCCCUUACCGGGGUUGCGGACAGUGUCUGGUGGGUAGUUUGACUGGGGCGGUCUCCUCCCAAAGCGUAACGGAGGAGCACGAAGGUUAGCUAAUCCUGGUCGGACAUCAGGAGGUUAGUGCAAUGGCAUAAGCUAGCUUGACUGCGAGCGUGACGGCGCGAGCAGGUGCGAAAGCAGGUCAUAGUGAUCCGGUGGUUCUGAAUGGAAGGGCCAUCGCUCAACGGAUAAAAGGUACUCCGGGGAUAACAGGCUGAUACCGCCCAAGAGUUCAUAUCGACGGCGGUGUUUGGCACCUCGAUGUCGGCUCAUCACAUCCUGGGGCUGAAGUAGGUCCCAAGGGUAUGGCUGUUCGCCAUUUAAAGUGGUACGCGAGCUGGGUUUAGAACGUCGUGAGACAGUUCGGUCCCUAUCUGCCGUGGGCGCUGGAGAAUUGAGGGGGGCUGCUCCUAGUACGAGAGGACCGGAGUGGACGCAUCACUGGUGUUCGGGUUGUCAUGCCAAUGGCACUGCCCGGUAGCUAAAUGCGGAAGAGAUAAGUGCUGAAAGCAUCUAAGCACGAAACUUGCCCCGAGAUGAGUUCUCCCUGAGACUUUAAGUCUCCUGAAGGAACGUU
rnacentral:rRNA from 1 species